UGGAAGGCUCUGAGGUGGAGAAAUGACAGCC
rnacentral:piRNA from 1 species